rnacentral:piRNA from 1 species
UUGCAGUUGUCACCUAUUUUCAGGACAUAA